rnacentral:rRNA from 1 species
CCCUUAGUAGCGGCGAGCGAAGCGGGAAGAGCUCAAAUUUAUAAUCUGGCACCUUCGGUGUCCGAGUUGUAAUCUCUAGAAAUGUUUUCCGCGUUGGACCGCACACAAGUCUGUUGGAAUACAGCGGCAUAGUGGUGAGACCCCCGUAUAUGGUGCGGACGCCCAGCGCUUUGUGAUACAUUUUCGAAGAGUCGAGUUGUUUGGGAAUGCAGCUCAAAUUGGGKGGUAAAUUCCAUCUAAAGCUAAAUWUKGGCGAGAGACCGAURGCGAACAAGUMCCGKGAGGGAARRAUGAAAARCAYUUKGUAAARARAKUUAACAGUACGUGAAAUUGUUGGAAGGGAARCGYUUGAAGUCAGACUUGCUUKYCGAGCAAUCGGUUUGCAGGCCAGCAUCAGUUUUCCGGGAUGGRUAMUGGUAGAGAGAAGGUAGCAGUUU